GUUUUACUUUUCUUUUCUCAUUUAUGUAUCUAAAAAAUGUUUUAUCCACCUUUUUUACUGACUGUGCUAUUUUCUCUUCUGUGUGUGAUUUGGAAGCUCUUAUAACUUGCUUAGCCUCUUUCUGCCUAAUCUUAUAGAUCAUUUUGUCUUCCUCACUCUGGGUUUUUUUAUAAUUCCUAAAUGCUAACUUUUUGUUUUUAACUAUUUUGG